GAAACGCGAUAGUUAAUGUGAAUUGCAGAAUUCAGUGAAUCAUCGAGUCUUUGAACGCACAUUGCGCCUUUUGGUAUUCCGAGAGGCACGCCUGUUCGAGCGUCAGUGAAAACCCUUCCGGGCUUGCUUUGCAGCGGGCCGCGGGACCCUGGCGAGGGGAUGUCCGACCGCCGCGCCUCCGGGUGCGGGCAGGUCUUCCCCCGCUUAAACUCGGAGAAAGCUAGCGGGCUCACCGGCCACGACCGCGAAGACUAGUAGAAAACACCUGUCAUCCGUGUCCCGCCGGCGCCCUGCCUUUAACACCGACGGCGCCGCCUUUUUUUGGCACGCCAUCCUGACCCUUGACCUCGGAUCAGACGAGGAUACCCGCUGAACUUAA
rnacentral:misc_RNA from 1 species